rnacentral:rRNA from 1 species
AACGAACGCUGGCGGCAUGCCUAACACAUGCAAGUCGAACGAGACCUUCGGGUCUAGUGGCGCACGGGUGCGUAACGCGUGGGAACCUGCCCUUAGGUUCGGAAUAACUCCCCGAAAGGGGUGCUAAUACCGGAUAAUGUCUUCGGACCAAAGAUUUAUCGCCUUUGGAUGGGCCCGCGUUGGAUUAGCUAGUUGGUAGGGUAAAAGCCUACUAAGGCGACGAUCCAUAGCUGGUCUGAGAGGAUGAUCAGCCACACUGGGACUGAGACACGGCCCAGACUCCUACGGGAGGCAGCAGUGGGGAAUAUUGGACAAUGGGCGAAAGCCUAAUCCAGCAAUGCCGCGUGAGUGAUGAAGGCCUUAGGGUUGUAAAGCUCUUUUACCCGGGAUGAUAAUGACAGUACCGGGAGAAUAAGCUCCGGCUAACUCCGUG